rnacentral:rRNA from 1 species
UACAGAGGUCUCAAGCGUUGUUCGGAUUCAUUGGGCGUAAAGGGUGCGUAGGCGGCGCGGUAAGUCGGAUGUGAAAUCCCACGGCUCAACCGUGGAACUGCAUUCGAUACUGUCGGGCUAGAGGCAGGUAGGGGAGAUCGGAAUUCCUGGUGUAGCGGUGAAAUGCGCAGAUAUCAGGAGGAACACCGGUGGCGAAGGCGGAUCUCUGGGCCUGUCCUGACGCUCAGGCGCGAAAGCUAGGGGAGCGAACAGG